rnacentral:rRNA from 1 species
UACGUAGGGUGCGAGCGUUGCCCGGAUUUAUUGGGCGUAAAGGGCGCGUAGGCGGUGAGAUGCGUCCGUUGUGAAAUCGCCCGGCUCAACUGGGCGGGGUCAGCGGAUACGGUCUCACUCGAGCAAGCUAGGGGGCAAUGGAAUUCCCGGUGUAGUGGUGGAAUGCGUAGAUAUCGGGAGGAACACCAAUGGCGAAGGCAGCUCGCUGGGACGGUACUGACGCUGAGGCGCGAAAGCGUGGGGAGCAACAGG